rnacentral:rRNA from 1 species
AGCAGCCGCGGUAAUUCCAGCUCCAAUAGCGUAUAUUAAAGUUGUUGCAGUUAAAAAGCUCGUAGUUGAAUUUCGGGAUUGACACAUCGGUCGUGCCUUAAGGGGUAUGAACUGGUGUAGUCAAUUUCUCACCUUCUGGAGAACCGCGAUGCCCUUAAUUGGGUGUCGCGGGGAACCAGGACCUUUACUUUGAAAAAAUUAGAGUGUUUAAAGCAGGCAUUUUGCUUGAAUACAUUAGCAUGGAAUAAUAAAAUAGGACGGCAUGAUUCUAUUUUGUUGGUUUCUAGGAUCACCGUAAUGAUUAAUAGGGAUAGUUGGGGGCAUUAGUAUUCAAUUGUCAGAGGUGAAAUUCUUGGAUUUAUUGAAGACUAACUACUGCGAAAGCAUUUGCCAAGGAUGUUUUCAUUAAUCAAGAACGAAAGUUAGGGGAUCGAAGACGAUCAGAUACCGUCGUAGUCUUAACCAUAAACUAUGCCGACUAGG